rnacentral:rRNA from 1 species
GGAGAGGAGAGUGGAAUUCCUAGUGUAGCGGUGAAAUGCGUAGAUAUUAGGAGGAACACCAGUUGCGAAGGCGGCGCUCUGGACUGUAACUGACGCUGAGGCACGAAAGCGUGGGGAGCAAACAGGAUUAGAUACCCUGGUAGUCCACGCUGUAAACGAUGAGUACUAGGUGUCGGGGGUUACCCCCUUCGGUGCCGCAGCUA